CCAUUCUGUGAUUCUGUCCUGAGGGAAGCUGUGCUGUCAACAACCAGGUGAGGGUCAGGUUGGACAUCAGGAAAAAGUUCUUCCCCGGAGGGCAUGGAGCAGCUCCUCAGGGCGGUGGGCACAGCCCCGAGCUGCUGGGGGUCGAGGAGCAUUGGGUCACCUCCCUUAGACACUGGGUUUGGAUGGUGCUGUGUGGGGCCAGGAGUUGGAUUCAGUGAUUCUCGGGGAUCCCUUCCAGGUGGGAAUAUUUGAUGAUUCUAAGAACCACCCCCUCUGUUCUCUGUAUGCAUCAGCAGUUUCCAGGAGAAUGGCUGAUGGAUUGAAGUUGAAAAGGGACCUUAAAGAUCACGGGCUGCGUGUCCCCACCAGCUCAGCCCAGGGCCCUGUGUCCCAUCCUUGGGCACCUCCAGGGAUGGUCAUCCACUCUUCUCUGAGCAGCAGUGCCACAGCUUCACCCCCUCCGUGUGAAGGACUUCCUCCUCCUUUUUUGCUGGCAUCCUCUUUCAGAAUGAUGAGGACACCCACUGCUGUGUUAGCAGCACACAGCCCUGUCACUGCCACAGCAGGAAAACUGAGGACCCACAUAAGAGGGUGUGUAGGAAACCACCGUCAAAUUGGAGUUUUCAUAGGGGAAGUUGAACCAUUUACCUGGAAUAAAGGUUAUGUGGAUGGAGUCUUCCCAAAUACACUGAAAGAAACUUCAGCCUCGAUCUCUUCCUGCUCCUGGGAUCAGCGAUCCUCAGGAUUCUCCCACUUUGCACUUUCACAGACCACCAGCAGGAACCGGACAGAGAACAGCAUUCCAUACAUUGAAGACCUGAAAUCUGAGGUCCGGGGCCAAAUAAAACAUGGGUGGAAUGCAGAGCUAUAAUAAGGUGCAUCCGUGCGCGGUGUCACUCAGGGAUUGGUUGCCGCUUUUGUCCAAGCAUUGAAAUCUCAGUCAGGAGACUCAGAAAAACGUGUUUCAUUGCUGGGGUUGGACAGGGACAAACAGGAGGAACAGAAAGAGGAACAGGCUGGAACCCAAGGGAUACACAGACCGAACUUGGCCGAGUCUCCUGGAGUUAUUAAACACCAGACAGAGCUCACAGGAGCACCUUUAUCCGUUGGGGUGACGCCUCAAGCCUUGGAAGCAAUCCUGCACAGGCAGAGGUCUGAGCAGAGGUGCAGAAUCUGACAAACUUCCUUUUCCCUGCUGUGCUGAAACAAGCCGAUUCCGAACUUAAGAACCACUCCUCCAGGCUCAAAGAUUGUCCCAGGCUCCUCUGAUAGGUUUUUCUUUAAGCUGCAUUCUCUUGAGGCAGUGUUGAUGAGGCGCCAGGAAGGGCUCAGACCUCCUUCAGGUUGGACAUCAGGAACUGUUUCUUCUCGGGGUCAGAAAAACUAAUGAUCAGGUCCAGGCUGAGAACUCCAGCACUCCGGUUAAAAGGGUUUCCUUCUCACCUCAAACGUUUUGGGGAUGCUUUCAGCAGAACGCAGAGCCUCCUCCGCCAGCUGCCACCAGGCAGAGCUGGUCAGUGCUUGGUGCAGCUGCAUCUCCACAGCUCGAGGCCAUCAGCAAGUAAAGCACAAUGCAUCCCAGUUCCAUCCCUGUUGGAGCAGCUGGGCUUCACUCUGGGUAAGGAUGAGACCUGGCCCCCCACGCCUCCCAACCUGUGAUUGCCACUCUGUACUGGCACACCUCAACUGGAGCCCAGGAACCGUAGGAACACAAGAAUGUUUUGGACCCAUCUCAACUUUCCAUGUCUUCCAAGCAAUGACCUCAGAUCCUUACAAGAAGGCUGUUCCCAGCUUAGGUGAGCAAAGGAAGGUGAGUCCAGUGGAGUGGAGCCACGGGGCAAGACUUGCAAGUUGCUUCUGCAAAAUGCCCCUUGUGCUCACAUCUCCCAACCAGCUCGCCCUGAUGGCCGACGCUGCCAAAGGAUGCACUGAGGAAGCCCUAGAGACAACUCCUGUUUUGCAGCGGCGUUCUGCCAACAGGGAACACAGAAAAGUCCAUUGAGGUCCGUAUGGCUGAAAGACAAUCAGAGCUUAAUACAAAUGUAAUAAAUCCAAGUUACUUCUCGUUGCUA